CGCGUAGGCGGUCUCUUAAGUCAGGUGUGAAAGCCCGGGCUCAACCCCGGAAGUGCAUUUGAAACUAAGGGACUUGAGUAUGGGAGAGGGAAGUGGAAUUCCUGGUGUAGCGGUGAAACGCGUAGAUAUCAGGAGGAACACCGGUGGCGAAGGCGACUUCCUGGACCAAUACUGACGCUGAGGCGCGAAGGCGUGGGUAGCAAACA
rnacentral:rRNA from 1 species